UACGUAGGUGGCAAGCGUUGUCCGGAUUUACUGGGCGUAAAGAGCGCGCAGGCGGUCGUUCAAGUCGCGUGUGAAAGCCCCCGGCUCAACUGGGGAGGGUCACGCGAUACUGAUCGACUCGAAGGCAGGAGAGGGAAGUGGAAUUCCCGGUGUAGUGGUGAAAUGCGUAGAUAUCGGGAGGAACACCAGUGGCGAAGGCGACUUCCUGGCCUGUUCUUGACGCUGAGGCGCGAAAGCUAGGGGAGCAAAUGGG
rnacentral:rRNA from 1 species